AACGCGUAGUCAAUCAUGCAUUUGAAUUCGUGUCCGACGACGAAACACAGCUGAGAAGGAAGCUAAAAAACCAGGGAAGCAGCGCAGAGCGCAAAAGACCGGAAGAAGGCGCGCAUGGAUGAACUAGAGAAAGAAAUGAAAGAACUACAACAGCAGAACCAAGCAUGAUGAGGCUGUAGAAGUAUGAUGACGGUUCAUGUGUCAGUGAAGACAUCAAGGCACUUUCAAGCUGUUUGUUAGGAGUUCGGCAAAAGCGGUGCAAGGGAGUCUCUUCUUCAGCGU